CUCAAGGUUGCCAUGGUGCAGAGAUUGUUUUGAGAGGUUGGGAUAUCGCCAUAUUUUCCACUGUGAAUGAAUGAAUUCAGAAUUCACUCGUAAACAAUCAGCUUUGGCUUCUUUGUCAUCUACAGCCAAACGACACUGGGGAUACAAGUGGUGUACCUCAAAAAAUGAUUUCAGACGGAAAAGAAAUUCUUAUGAAAAAUGCUUGUACAGCUACGCUAACAAAGAGUUAAAAUCUUGUGAUCCAUCUUGUUGGGGGUAGUGUAAUUCUGCUUAAACCAGCCUAAAUCAGAUGUAUCUACACGGAAGUGUUUGAUUAGUGUUGGCAGAUGUCUCAUGUUUCCUACCUUACAAAGGGGCAGCCAACUGCACCUUGUACUUUUUAUUGGACCUGCAGUUUUACCUCAUCAGUGAUCUUUUGUGUGACGAUGCUGACAUUGAUCCUCUGUGAUCUCUUCUUGUUUUUCCUGAUGCCAGUCGUGUAGAUUUCUCUCUUGUAGUGUGUGUGAGUGACUUUUCAACAUAUGCAUGUCAAACCUAAACAUGCACAAGCCCAUUUUUUUUUUUUUAAAACUGAAAAGCAUAGCUACCCUGUUUGAACAUUUUCUCCUCAUAAUCAACAGACGAGUCUGUUAUUUGGUGCAAGUCAUAUGGAGUGAAGGGUACAGUCUAAUUUUAAGGUGGGAAAUGAAGGUAGCUAUAAAACUUUACCUCUGUAAGUCAAAACAAUACAAUUUUACUGUAUGACUAAUGCUAGUUUGACCGCCUUCCCUGCCUGAACACUUGGUUAUUAAUUUCCCCCCACCAGUAGGACCUGUGUAAUAUCAAGCACAGUGGUGGCAUGGUGCCUUUUAUUUGUUACUACCGAAAGGUACGGUCUUCCAUUUGUAUUUCCCAGAAGCCUUAUAAUGGGAAAAAAUAAAUUACACUGAACAUACAUGACCACAGUAGAUAGGCUCAUACUCCCUCUGAGCAUUAUUAUUUCAAUCCUGUGUGAUCGGAGUUAAAACAAAGAAGAAAAAAAAAGCCUAAAUAACUCCUUCUGUAUUAGUCUGGAUUUCACUAUGUGUUUCCAGUGACUGAGUGCUCCCCUAGGGUGGCAGAAUAAAUUGCACAUAACUGAUGCGAUUUAGGGCACAUCAAACAUAGAAUGGAUGGGGAUCAAUAGUACGAAAGCACAAAUCCAAAGAAGGCACCUCGGGGGCUCAGUUAGCUCCCCCAACAAUAAGAAGCGAAGGAGCCUAUAGACCAAAUUUAGGCAAAGAUGUGAGGAAAAACAUUCAACUCCUGAGUGCAGACACCAUGAGGUUUGAUUGUCAGUAACACAUGAACUGUAGAAAGACCAUUGUCUGGAAUUUCAGAGCUGCUUCUGAUUGUUCUUCUCAGCUCUUGGGUAUUCAUCGAUGAUUAGUAACUUCGCAGUGCAAACCAAGUUGUGAAAUGAUGCGGUACCUGCAUUCACCAUCAUAUUUAGGUAAACUGUUUGUUGUGACUGUGUUGCAAAUUGAUUGUGGAGAUUGUUUUGUGUUAUUUAGGGUAGACUGACUACAAGUAGGGUUGCAGUAGUAGCUGUGUGCAGUGUUAAUAACAGUGUGAUCAUAUUAUAGAAGUGACGUAACAUUUGUUGUCUUACUACGACAUUAAGGCAUGAAUCAUCUUCUCUCAAGCUGACCUCGUUUGAAAUAGACAAAAGAUAAAAGUGCAAUAACCUUUUGUUUAUCAUUGCUUCCUCAGUUGAAAAAAAAAAUUAUUUAAUAUGCCCUUUUUGUUAACACCAAAAGUCACUCAUCUGUAGCAAAUGAAGGAUUUCAAGUGGUCCUCUUGUUUGUGUUCAGAGAGGUGGCGUUUGAUAGUGGAGUGUGUGAUAUUCCAUUCUUAAAACUGUGAUCAAUAUCCAACUUUAAAAGCUGCCUGCUCAGACAAAGGACCGUGCACAAGUUGACUGAUAGAUUUGAGUAGGUGCUUUUUUUUUUUUUCUUUUUUCUUUAUCUGGAUGGACUUUGAUGGUAUUGUAGUUUGGACUUCUGGUUUAUAGCCGGUAGACAUGUUCAUUUGCAUGUGUAGAUGUGUAUAUGCAUCCUCUCUUCCUCCUUGAAUGAAAUGUUUUCUCAAAAAUAUUUAGACCUGCUGUCAGUGAUGUAUGCGGAUAAAAGGAAAUAUGAAAUGCCUUAUAUUUGUUUUCGAUGUUAAGCAUUAAGGGUUCUUACGUGUCCCUCCCUUUUCAGCGUGUAGCCUAAAGCUUGUACAGUUAAGAAACUCAUGAGAUUUAUAUCUACUGUAUAGCCUAUGUGUUUUCAGAAUUUGUUACUUGGAGGUCCUGUGAUUGUGGUUUUAGAGAAACAUUCCCCUUGAAAGUGCCGUUUGUUUUCACCAGCAGAAGAUGUGUCUUGGGGGAGAAAUGUAUUUAUACGAAGGAAAACAAAUGUUCAAAACACUUUGCAGUGUUUACCGUUGAACCUGUUGAGCUGAAUGACACAAAGUAUUUGUGCAGGUGAAAUAAGGCAGCAAUCUUCUGAUGGAGCACCUUACAGACUUGCUCCUUCUGUGAGCCCACAAUGGACGUAGUCUCUCACCAAGCUUGAUUACUCUAAAGCAGAGCCAUAUCAGAGAAUUUGCCCAUUAGGAGCCCCCUUUGAAUGUGCUAUUAGGAAUAGCCUACUGUAGGAAAGGAUGUAUACUGCAUGUUCUGUGACAUUUUAGUAGUGUUAGACCCUUUACAUGUUUUUGUUUUUUAGUCCGCUUCACUGUAGAUGUUGCCACCUCAUUGCAACUCACAAGCUAUUAACAGUCCUCUCACAACUGGACUUAAAGCAGGCAUUGAUCUGCUGCUGAGGCAGCCUUAAUUCACUGCAAAUUUUUUUUUAAAAAAGAGCGAGAAAUGAUAGGUAAUGGGUUGCCUGUUUUAUUUUGAGUGGCUUAUCUGAGGAAAUACAAAGGAGCCCUUAUCAUGAGUGGAAGGACUCUGAAUCAGGGCAUGUGAUGAGUUACAAUCAAAUAGUUUCACAGUGCACCUUCACAAAAAAAUGUAAAGAAAAAAAAAAGUUGGCUUGUCCACCCAACAUUCCAAAGUUGAUUUAAUUUUCCACAGUCCUGUCCCUCUGAGGAAAUCUUUUUGCUUUGCUGGUGAAUGAAGUGGGCAUGUAUGUAAAUGACAGGGUUCCCUAUUUAGCCUAACGCUGAUUACCUCAUUUACAAAUCUGCAAAUAUACUAUUCUACUGUGUGUAAAGGAGUCAGUGCCAUCACCAGCAGCGUGGUCUCGAGACCUGUGAUGACAACAGGACCAAUGAAGUUACUCUGUUGAAAUUAGCCAAUUUUAAAAUAAGACCAGUCUGGGAAUAUAGGGUUAAGACACGAUUCAAUUUUUUUUUUUUUUUUUUGUAAGGCCGAACGGGCCUCUUAAGAUUUCUUCAGUUAGUAAAUCACCUCAGCUGCUACCCCAGUCAGCAUCAGGAGCCAUCAGGAAGGCUGCAGACACCGUUUUUGAGAUUUCAAACUAAUACUCCUUAUUUUACAAGCUAAAGGUGUAAAUCUAACAUUACACUUAUUACAAACCGCUCCUCAGACUUUGACUGGAAUAGCAACUGUUGGCACUAGCAUGGUUCAAGAAACCUGGUGUAUCUCAUGAUUAUUUAAGUGAACGAUCAUGUUGGCAUCACUUGCUGUUUUUUCAGUAGCAUUUCUCCUACCUCCUUGUUUUGCAGCCUUGACUAUUGUUUGUCUCUCCACCUGUUCUGACUUUUAAAAAAAAAAUCUAUUCACAGUACGGGAAUACAGAUUUAUCAUAAGCAAUGGUAGUUAUACAUAAAGUGUGCUUGGUUGUUCUGUAUGUGUAUAUGUCUAUUUGACGUUGGAAAAAAAAUAUUUAUGAGAAGCAUUUAUACGACAAAAUACCACUGGAAUGUGAAGCCAGAUAAUGUUAUGAUGCAGAUUAUGAUGAUAGUCUAUCCCCUUUAACAUUCAGUGGCGAAUGGUCAGAGGAAUCAUCUUUUAGAAAAUUGAAUAACCGUGCAUUGGCUUUUUUUAAACACCAUAUAUUUCUUUUGGUUUCCUCUUAUGCAUGUACUUCCCUGUCUAGCCCUAUAGUAUACAAUAUUUCAAUGUUUACAGCUUCGUUCUGGGUCAGCCAUUGAUUGCCCUGCAGUUGAUAUCACAGCUUGUCACAAGGAAGAUAGUAAGGUGGAUUUGUAAUUCUGUACGAGGGUGAGUUAGAGCCCCUCGAGCCGUAUGCCUUUGAAUCCAUCUGUCCACUCUGAACCAAAUUCUGCUGCAUAGGUGUCUGUCUCCACACUGCCCCGACAUUUUACAUUCAGUUUGACUACAAGGGGUACAGGACAAGGUGAAAGGUUUGAGGUUUUCUGACCAGGGCCCCCCUAACUACCCGCCGACACCCCUCACCCACCCAUGCCUACUCCAAGACAGGACCAGCCCCAGUCCCCGUCACCCACCCACCCACUGUCUCACCUAAACCUCAAGCCAUUCAUUUUUCUGUUUUGUUUUUUCGACAAUGCAAUCCUGAAAGCACUUUGCCUUGUUAUUCCUUUGUGUGAACAUGUGAAUGAUAAUUUGUUACAGAAAUGUUAAAUAUGUAAAAGAUCAUUCACUGUUUUGGAAAAACCUGCAUCUGUCUUUCUGACGUUAAAAGAAAAAAAAAACAAUUUAGUGACAUUAAACCUGAAUCUAUUUUAUAAAAUGUUUGCUGCAGCCAAUUGGUCUUGUCAUUCAGUAUUGUGGCUUAGGGUUGUUUGUGUUCAAUAAAGUGCUAUUGCUAAAUA
ensembl:lncRNA